rnacentral:lncRNA from 1 species
AGAGAAAUGUUCACAAAUCAACAAAUAAACAAUUUGAAAAUAGCAGAAUUAAAAUGCAGAUACAAGAAAAAGGAGUAUAAUACUCAGCCUUAAGAUGGUUGGCACCAUAUCACAAUCACAUAGAAUCUAUGACAGAAGAAAAUGGAGAAGUACAUGAACUAAUCCAAAACAAGAAGAAAAUGUGCUCAGACUAAGAAUUUCAAGCUCAUCAAAGUAAACCAGAAAAUGACAGAUUUGUACUUGAUUUGAAGCCAUUUCAGUAACAACCAAAAUACUCCAUAGACAAUCGUUUAUUUUAACCAUCCCAUAGUCAUUGUGAUCAAACUAACCAACCAUCCCAUAGUCAUGGUGAUUAAAAUGCAUAUUCCAUUUCCUAUGUUUUGUUUCCAAGAAUGAAUAGUUGAGUCAUAAAGCAAUCAUGAAGAUGGUUACAAGUUUAGUUCAACUUGAGAUUCCUUCUCUGCCAGCAAAUUCUUAAUGGAGGUCUCCUACACGAAAGAACAUUAUGAAGAAUAUCUAUUUGGCUCUGAUACCCUUGUUUUAUAUAUGGUGAAAAUACAAGCACAAUAUUUAACAAUCAGUAUUGCUGAAAAGUCACAAGAUCAUAAAACAGAAACUCCAAGAGUAAACCUUUUGUUAGCUGUUCAUGUGAGGGAGAAAUUAGCAAUUUUACUCCUUUCCUAAUUAGGACCAAGGAUUGAAAGGGACUUUUUACCAAUUAUUAACCAGAUGAAAUCUACUUCAACUUGCCAGAAUUUAAUUGAUUAAUGGAUUUCAAAAAAAAUAACAAUUGAAGGUGGUAAAUUGAGAAAUUCAAAGUUCAGGGUGCAAAGUGCAAUUUGGAUAGUUGACGGAUGCAAAGUGCAAUAAACUUUAAAAUGUAUGUUCUGUAGUAGUCUGUUAACUGUGAAACUUCAUUAUUAUCCAUAUCACCAAUGCUACUAAACGUUAAUUGCAAUAAUGCGUACUAUACAUGUUUAGAUUACCUUCACAAAGCUUGUUAGUCAGAUUAUAAUGUCCGUCCAAGUCAGUAGUCAAAGAACAAUCUACUUUUUUAUCUCUAUUUUUUCCUUGAAAGAAACUAUAUAAAGUUUAAGAAAAUUUGACAACUAAACUGAAAUUAAGAUUGAUUGAUUAAGAAGCAAAUAAUGACAUUAAAAGUUUAUAUAUAUAUAUAUAGAUUAAUCUUUUAUAUACUGCCUGUGUUGGAUAAAUGACAACUAUGCAAAAUUUAAAUUUUAAAUUCAACAUUUACACAUAUAUCAUAAAUCUAAUUGUGAUAGUGACCAGUAUUUGAAAGGAUGACAACUAUGCAAAAUUUAAAUUUUAAAUUCAACAUUUACACAUAUAUCAUGAAUCUACUUGUGAUAGUGUACAUACUGUCAGUGUAUAUAAGAUUUACUAUAUAUAUAUAUACAAAUUUUUUGAACAACAGAAAACAUAAUGAUAAACCAACUAUACUCAUCUUAAUCCACUUUGUCCAUUAUCACUUGCAUCAAGUGGUCUCUACUUAAUCUACUGUCAAUUAUCAAGUGCUUCAAGUGGUCUCCAUAUACUCAAGAAAAUACCACCUCAACAGCUACACCACGUCAAAUUAUGCAGCCAGACUCCUAUUCUAAACAUAUAUAUAUAUAUAUAUAUAUAUAUGCUCAGUGUGUAGCUAUGUCUUCCUAGUUUUCUUACAAGUAACAGUCAAAAGGAAAAUGAUUUAGUACGUCAUCUUCGACUUCACAAGCAAUAACAUAAACAUCCAGAGUAAGUGUUUAAAAUGAAGCUGCAAAAACUCUGCAGAUCUUUAAAGUUUGAAAAUGGUAUUUACAGGGGGAACAAACUCCCAAAACAAUGCCAAAGUUAAACCCGCAAAUUCACAUUUUCGCAGAACAAAAUGCCUCGCAAGGCAGAAGCUCAAAAUUUCGAAACCUAUAUAGCAACUAGCAAUAGUUGAACGUUUUUUCCAAACGUUUUAACAACAGGCUUCUAUGAUGGUGAGAGUUAUCCGAGGGCUAGUUUUGCAAACCUGCUUAAUUGUAAAUUAUACAAGAUAUGUGUUGUCCCCAAAAGGGGGUCUGCUUCAUUCUUGUUUUGAAAUUUGUGAACACGAGGACUUCCUCUGAUCCAACUUCCGCCUUUUUGCAGUCAGGCGCGGCCUCAACUGAUUUGCAAGAGUACAACUAAUGCAAAUUAUUCUGAAUGUACAAUUAUUUGCAAAGAUUAUAAUAUCAUGUAGGACUAGAUUGAGAAGUUCUAAUAACAUCAACCAAGAUAUGCAAAAUAAAGCUUCAAAAUAGAGAGAAAAAUAAUAAUAAGUCGGCAACAAUCACAUACAGAGCUGGCUGUGGACUAUGGUAAAAUGGGGAGACAUAGAUUAAGACUUGGAAGUAAAUAAAGGACAUUUCACAAAAUGAAAGAACAGGAAGAAGGGAAAGAGAGAAGUCGCCUUAUUGAAGAUUCGGGUGAUUGCUGACAUUUAUAAACCAACAACAAUUCUGAGUUCUGACUAGAUAAAUAAAGAAAAUGUGAUAUGAAAAAAAAAUAAAAUGGCAUACCUUCUCUAUGUACUUCAACUGCCUUAGAACUUGAUCAGUAGGUAUCUCCUGAAACAUAAGUAAAGGAAAAGGCAAUUCAGAAAAGAAUAGAAAAUGAACAGCUUACUGAAUCAUAUGAGAAGGGAGUUAUAGAAGAUUUGAGUACAACAAGCCCCCAGAAACAGCAAUAACAAAAUACAAAAUGAAAAAAAUACUUUGCAUUGUCUAAGGAACAUCAUCAAGAAACAAAGGCCUUUGCCUGUCAUUUAAAGAACUUGAUCUCUGCAAAACCCUUGGCAGCAAAACUAGGCAUGUUUAGAAUCAGUCUGUAAACUACUGCUCACCCUAUUACCCCUCUCUUUCAGCACAAGACGCAUCUUGCAAUGUGGUCCCUUUUCCCCAGUUCCCCAGCUGACUCUCCUUUCCCUUUGCAGAAACAAACCUCUGCUGCUGCAGCACCCCUUAACCCAGAACAUAUCUCAUGAAUGGCUCAAGUUAUGUUUUCUUAGUAAGCAUGCUAAUCAUAGAUAACAUGUUAAGUAAUCUAGAGUACGAAGUUAUAUUCUAAUUUCACCCUGAAAAGUAAGCAAAAGCAACAACACUUUUGUAUCAACACUAUCUUUUGGUCUAUAAGUUGUUGUAUCAGAAAGUUCAAAAAAGUUCACAAUCAUAAAAAAAUCAAAAAGCCAAAUCAGGUAACGCUUGGAUUAGACAUGUCUGGUCCACCAACCAUGUAAGCAAAAUAGAGUAGAUCAAAACAGUCCAACAGUAUUUGUUAGGUAAAAAUCUACCAAAAAAAAAGAGAAUAGAUUGAAGUCCUCCACAUUGGAGGCUAAAGAUCAACAGCCACAUUAGACUAUUUGUGCUAACAAAGAAAUAAACAUUCUUGUAGCAAUCAUAUUAUACAUCUUUUAAACAAAAUUCUCUUUAACCAAUUGCUGUUUCACCUGUUUGGUUUCUAGAUAUGACCAUGUCACCUUUUGCACUAAAAUACAACCUUUGCCUUCAGCAAUGCUUUUCCAACACACAAAAUGUAUUUGCAUUUGCCUACAAUAGCAUCUUUUUCCAUAUCUGAUGUGGAUACAGUGACAGAUUUCCUUAAAUUCAUCCUCUCUCUCUCUCUAGGUUGUUUUAUCUCUUUUGUCUAAGGCACCAUGACAGUCACACCUAAGCUAAUGCAAAGCCUAGUUAUUCAAUAACUAAACUUAGACCAAAGCCUCCAACAUGGAUCAAAUUGAGGAAGAAAAUUGUUCACGAUAACACUGUCUUGUACGUAAUCUCAAAGAUACAUUUAAGAAACGCCUUGAACUUAAAAUAAUUAUAAUAAAAACCUUAGUCAAGAGAUCAUAUAUAAUUUAGUCAAAUUCUCGAGGAAACCAAACAGAAAGCAGAAAAAUACUUUACUCCUCACUAACAAAUUCUUAAGAUGCAAGGCAUUUGCUGCAUUAUCAAAUCCGAGUACACAAGUGGAUUGAAUUUCUAACUCAUAAAAACAAAUAAAUCACUGCAAGAUGCUUGACUGAAAAAUCUAAUACUAGCAAUGAAUCUAAAUAGGAUAGAAGCAGCAAGGUUGCAAAACUUCUGUUGACGACCUAUAAACAACUAUAGUCUGGGAUCCAGAUUUUCAGCAUAAAUUCCUAAUCCUAAUUGUGAUUGUAGGUCUUACUAAUGUAACAAGAUUUACACUUGCCCCUUAAUGUAACAAAGAAACUUAUAUUAGUUAUGUUAAACUACCAAAACAGUGUAGGAUGCAACAAGCAAGUGAAUUUUAAAAACUCGUCAAAUCCACGUAACUCUAUGUUCAAAUAUAACAUUUUAACCUGUAAGCCCCUAAUUACAACUAUAACUCAAAAUCUCUGAGCAUCUUGCAAUCAGAAACAUCUGAAAGGCAUUCAUUAUAAGGACAACUGAACCCUUAACUCCAAACAUUGUAUACAUAAAGUAAACAGGAAAGACCAAAAACACCAUGAUUGAUUAACGUAUCAAAACCAGCUAUAAGGACCAGAACUAGUGAAUGAAUUAAAAACAGGAAACAAAUGGGGUACAAGACUAUGCUGUAAGUUCAACUUACCUGUGGAACAGCACAAUCAGCAUGAGAAGGAUCCCAAAGAACAGCCCGGAAGCAUUCCCAGUCAUCAGUUUGAACUUCAAAAAGCGGGGCCCUAUAAUUUAAAAACCUAGGAUAUUAAGCACCACAGGGGGAAAAUAAUGAAAAAGUCCCACAACAAUCUGCAAAAGGUACAAGAGUUAAAUUCAGGACAAGUAUGAAAGCUAAAAAAGUCAGCAACUGCUAAAAGACCCGAGAAAAAAAUAAAAACAAAAAUAAGAAGAAGAAGAAGUAUUAAUAGCUUGUGGAAACACAAAUAGAUUAAAGCUCAUAGUUGGACUUAAAGAAUUUGAAUCAAAAUGUCAGUGAAAUUGGGACAAAUAGGUGUUGGAGGAAAUUAAAUUAGACCAGAUAAAAACAAGUAUUUACAGUCAUGAACAAAUGAAAGCAGACAGAUAUUCACAGCCAGUACAUAAAGUAAAACUUAGUUGUGGCAAGUACAUAAAUUAGUACAGAUUCAGUUGCUAACUUAAGCGGAGAUCUAGAAUUCAUCCCUGAAAAGUUAAAAAAAAGGGGGGAAACUUCUAUCCUCUAAGCACCAUUCUGAUUGGAAAAAAAAAAAAAAGAAAGAAAGAAAGAAAGAAAAAGAAGAAGAAAGAAGAAGAAGAAGAAGAAGAAGAAGAAGAAGAAAAGGAAAGGAAAAGAUGCCAGUGGAAAAGAAAGGAAACCUAAACAUGCUGUUCUAUAUAUCUAUCUCCCACAAAAUUUUGUACAAUACAUCUGAUGUAGGGCAACAUUAACUAUCUCUGUUGGUAGGUCUUUAUACACAACUACCAUCUUAUUUCAGCUAAUAUGAACAGACCAGCUAAAAUCAUCUUAUUAGCAUCUUGGUUCUAGAAUAACCUCUUAGUGAAAUGUCAAUCUUGAAAUGAUGCAAAUCUGUCUGAAACAUUUUCAGCAGACAUGCAAAUAUAAUGCAAGCUAAUAAGGAAAGAGAUCCAAAAGAAAAGAACUAUGCAAAUAAAACUUUGCAGGUCACAACAGAGAAAUAAGCAUACUAUAUCCUUUAGCUUAAUGAUAAUCCAGGUUAAUGUUAAUCUUUAAAGUAAUGUUAUUAAACCCAAAAAUAGAAAUAAAUAAAUAAUAAAAAUUGACUGUCCUGUAACUGAAAGAAUAGUUUUCAUCGGAGAGAAUCCAAGUUUAAGGUCCUAUUAUUGCAGUUCAAGGUUCUAAACAUUGUUUCAUCAAGGCUGAACAUGUGUCCUAAGAUGUGCAAAUUUAUUCUCAUCUGAUAAAUAACUACUAUAACAAAUAAGGUAUCAACACGAAGCAUCCAAAAUCAACCAUCAGAGCUAUAUUAGUGCAUAAAAGAAAGCAGACCUUCGCCAUUUUCCACAUAUUGUUCCAUCAACAUGUUCUCCAAUACCUUCAAUCACCUGUUGACAUUGUACCCAAUUACCAAUAGAACUAAGCUGAGGUGUCUUGCUGGAGUUCUGAUACAAGUUUAAAAAAAUGAGUUAAUCUGGGAAAUCUGUUCUCAAGAGGACAAGGUUCCAAAAACUGAUUGAAGUCUUACAUGCAAAUAGAGAUACUCAGAUUGAAUCAUCUCCUCUGGUUCACUCGUAGGAUCAACUUCACUGAACCAAAAAGAAUCAUAAAUAAGACCAAGGUAAUACCAACAUGGAGGACAGGCAAAAUAUAAACUCAAUAGCAACAAUCAACUACCUUAAACAAAACGAAUUGAACAGAAGACCUGAAAUAAUACUAAGUGAUGAAAGUUAAUGCCCUUGAAUAGUGUGCAUAACAAACUAAAUUGUGUAAUAGAUACACCAUGUGCCAUCAGAUAAUCAAUGCUGGCCAAAGAAGCAAAAAGGCAAUGCUGGCGAGAGAAGGUGGCAUAAGAUGAUCAGUUCCAAAAGAAACUGUUGCUUCCAGUUAAUGGAAAACUGAAGUCAUUAUUACUUUAACACCAUUUAAGCGCUACCAUGAGCUUCAUGAAGUAUUGCAAGGAUGGUAAAGAAGGACAUAAAUAAUUCGAGACUGGCACAAUUCCCCAGCCUUGCAACAACUUUUUUAUGCUCAUACUUCUGAACCUAAAACCAUAUAAGAAAUGAAAAAUUUUACCACUAAAACUACAGAAGAAAAAGCACAAUCAAGAUUGAAAUCAAAAUGUGGCAUCAACAGAGAAAUGUUCACAAAUCAACAAAUAAACAAUUUGAAAAUAGCAGAAUUAAAAUGCAGAUACAAGAAAAAGGAGUAUAAUACUCAGCCUUAAGAUGGUUGGCACCAUAUCACAAUCACAUAGAAUCUAUGACAGAAGAAAAUGGAGAAGUACAUGAACUAAUCCAAAACAAGAAGAAAAUGUGCUCAGACUAAGAAUUUCAAGCUCAUCAAAGUAAACCAGAAAAUGACAGAUUUGUACUUGAUUUGAAGCCAUUUCAGUAACAACCAAAAUACUCCAUAGACAAUCGUUUAUUUUAACCAUCCCAUAGUCAUUGUGAUCAAACUAACCAACCAUCCCAUAGUCAUGGUGAUUAAAAUGCAUAUUCCAUUUCCUAUGUUUUGUUUCCAAGAAUGAAUAGUUGAGUCAUAAAGCAAUCAUGAAGAUGGUUACAAGUUUAGUUCAACUUGAGAUUCCUUCUCUGCCAGCAAAUUCUUAAUGGAGGUCUCCUACACGAAAGAACAUUAUGAAGAAUAUCUAUUUGGCUCUGUUACCCUUGUUUUAUAUAUGGUGAAAAUACAAGCACAAUAUUUAACAAUCAGUAUUGCUGAAAAAUCACAAGAUCAUAAAACAGAAACUCCAAGUACUUUGUAAAACUUAUGACCAGACCCAGACAUGACCAUGCAAGAGAUAUAUUCUCAAGACUGAUUAAGUUAUCCACUUAUGUACAUAUAGUACCAAAAUAAUAAGAGAUAU